AAGUCGUAACAAGGUUUCCGUAGGUGAACCUGCGGAAGGAUCAUUAUCGAGUUUUGACUGGGUUGUAGCUGGCCUUCCGAAGGCAUGUGCACGCCCUGCUCAUCCACUCUACACCUGUGCACUUACUGUGGGCUUCAGAUCGUAAAACGGGUCCCUUUACCGGGCUUGCGGAGCGUGUCUGUGCCUGCGUUUAUCACAAACUCUAUAAAGUAUCAGAAUGUGUAUUGCGAUGUAACGCAUCUAUAUACAACUUUCAGCAACGGAUCUCUUGGCUCUCGCAUCGAUGAAGAACGCAGCGAAAUGCGAUAAGUAAUGUGAAUUGCAGAAUUCAGUGAAUCAUCGAAUCUUUGAACGCACCUUGCGCUCCUUGGUAUUCCGAGGAGCAUGCCUGUUUGAGUGUCAUGAAAUCUUCAACCUGCAAGCUUUUGUGGUUUGUAGGCUUGGACUUGGAGGCUUGUCGGCCGUUCUCGGUCGGCUCCUCUUAAAUGCAUUAGCUUGGUUCCUUGCGGAUCGGCUCUCAGUGUGAUAAUGUCUACGCUGCGACCGUGAAGCGUUUGGCGAGCUUCUAACCGUCUCAGUUGGAGACAACUUUAUGACCUCUGACCUCAAAUCAGGUAGGACUACCCGCUGAACUUA
rnacentral:rRNA from 1 species